GAUGAACGCUGGCGGCGUGCUUAACACAUGCAAGUCGAACGAAGCACUUUAUUUGAUUUCCUUCGGGACUGAUUAUUUUGUGACUGAGUGGCGGACGGGUGAGUAACGCGUGGGUAACCUGCCUUGUACAGGGGGAUAACAGUUGGAAACGGCUGCUAAUACCGCAUAAGCGCACAGUAUCGCAUGAUGCAGUGUGAAAAACUCCGGUGGUAUAAGAUGGACCCGCGUUGGAUUAGCUAGUUGGUGAGGUAACGGCCCACCAAGGCGACGAUCCAUAGCCGACCUGAGAGGGUGACCGGCCACAUUGGGACUGAGACACGGCCCAAACUCCUACGGGAGGCAGCAGUGGGGAAUAUUGCACAAUGGGCGAAAGCCUGAUGCAGCGACGCCGCGUGAGCGAAGAAGUAUUUCGGUAUGUAAAGCUCUAUCAGCAGGGAAGAUAAUGACGGUACCUGACUAAGAAGCACCGGCUAAAUACGUGCCAGCAGCCGCGGUAAUACGUAUGGUGCAAGCGU
rnacentral:rRNA from 1 species